UACGAAGGGGGGCUAGCGUUGCUCGGAAUCACUGGGCGUAAAGGGUGCGUAGGCGGGUUUUAAGUCAGAGGUGAAAUCCUGGAGCUCAACUCCAGAACUGCCUUUGAUACUGAAAGUCUUGAGUAUGGGAGAGGUGAGUGGAACUGCGAGUGUAGAGGUGAAAUUCGUAGAUAUUCGCAAGAACACCAGUGGCGAAGGCGGCUCACUGGCCCAUACUGACGCUGAGGCACGAAAGCGUGGGGAGCAAACAGGG
rnacentral:rRNA from 1 species